rnacentral:rRNA from 1 species
UACGUAGGGGGCAAGCGUUGUCCGGAAUCAUUGGGCGUAAAGCGCGUGUAGGCGGCCCGGUAAGUCCGCUGUGAAAGUCCAGGGCUCAACCCUGGAAUGCCGGUGGAUACUGUCGGGCUCGAGUCCGGAAGAGGCGAGUGGAAUUCCUGGUGUAGCGGGUGAAAUGCGCAGAUAUCAGGAGGAACACCGAUGGCGAAGGCAGCUCGCUGGGACGGUACUGACGCUGAGGCGCGAAAGCGUGGGGAGCAAACAGG